CCCUUAGAUGUUCUGGGCUGCACGCGCGCUACACUGAUGCACUCAACGAGUUUACGACCUUGCCCGAUAGGGUUGGGUAAUCUUUUUAAAAUGCAUCGUGAUGGGGAUAGAUUAUUGCAAUUAUUAAUCUUCAACGAGGAAUUCCUAGUAAGCGCGAGUCAUCAGCUCGUGCUGAUUACGUCCCUGCCCUUUGUACACACCGCCCGUCGCUCCUACCGAUUGAGUGCUCAGGUAAAUAAUUCGGACUGCAGCAAUGUUUGGAUCCCGAACGUUGCAGCGGAAAGUUUAGUGAACCUUAUCACUUAGAGGAAGGAGAAGUCGUAACA
rnacentral:rRNA from 1 species